UGUCACUUUCCAGCACGGUUUCUGGGUUUGUGCAUGGGUGGGGGUUGCCUUCUAUUUAGAGUCAGGACAGAAAGCUCUUCUGUGGCCCAGAAAUCUUUGAAACUGCAUUUGGAUCUCUCCCAGCUGGUGGCCACUGUGAAUUGUAAUUUGAAAGGAAUCAACCAGAAGCACCUUCUUUCCAUCAUCGCUAGCUGGGGAACUACCCCAGGACCUACCCCUGAUUCUCUGGAGAGCUUGUGUGGGGUUUGCGAUGGAUGUUAUGCUAAUUGUGCUUGAAAGACACCAAGUGAAGAGGAAAUCGAAACCAAUAGAGAAAACUCGUGUGAAAUCUGGAACAUUCACCACACCAGGAUCUUAAAGUCUGGGGUUUUAAGGAUGCAUAGGAGCCAAGAUGUGAGAAUGUGACCAGAAGUUGGAGAAAAGAUGCCCAUAUCAAAUAAGUACCGAAAAGAUGAGGAAAAGGAAGUUGAUUUCCAGGAAAGAAAAAUGAAUAAUCUGGGGAGCUGAAGAAAUAACUUAUUGGUUAAGAGCAUGUGUUGCUUUUCCGGAGAACUCAGGUUUAAUCUCUAGCACCUCCAUGGUAGCUCACAACCAUCUAUCUAUAACUGCUAUCCGAGAAUAUCUAAUUCCCUCUCU
rnacentral:lncRNA from 1 species